GGUACCAAAUUUUUGUUCUUGAACUCUUGAGUAGGUGAAUCUGGUGAACAUCAUUAGGGAAUCAAAAUAGUUUGUAGACAGUUGAUACUCAAGACAUAUGACCAGUGAUCCAUCACAUUUCAUCAAAUUCAAGCCAAAAUCAAGUGGCAAAGUAACAUUUGAAAAUGAUAUAAAAGCAAAAAAUUAGAGUAAGAGAUGUUGGAAAGAAUGAUCAA
rnacentral:lncRNA from 1 species